rfam:Dipodomys ordii contig_30536, whole genome shotgun sequence.
GGGAAAGUGGCUCAGUGGUAGAGCGCUCACCUUGCAUGCGUGAGGUCCUGGGUUCAAUUCCUCAGCACCCCA